AAUGAACGCUGGCGGCAUGCCUUACACAUGCAAGUCGAACGGCAGCAUGACCUAGCUUGCUAGGUUGAUGGCGAGUGGCGAACGGGUGAGUAAUGCAUCGGAACGUGCCUUUUAGUGGGGGAUAACGUAGCGAAAGUUACGCUAAUACCGCAUAUUCUCUGAGGAGGAAAGCAGGGGACCUUCGGGCCUUGCGCUAGAAGAGCGGCCGAUGUCGGAUUAGCUAGUUGGUGAGGUAAAGGCUCACCAAGGCAACGAUCCGUAGCGGGUCUGAGAGGAUGAUCCGCCACACUGGGACUGAGACACGGCCCAG
rnacentral:rRNA from 1 species